GAUGAACGCUGGCGGCGUGCCUAAUACAUGCAAGUCGAGCGAACGGACGAGAAGCUUGCUUCUCUGAUGUUAGCGGCGGACGGGUGAGUAACACGUGGAUAACCUACCUAUAAGACUGGGAUAAUUUCGGGAAACCGGAGCUAAUACCGGAUAAUAUUUUGAACCGCAUGGUUCAAAAGUGAAAGACGGUCUUGCUGUCACUUAUAUAUGGAUCCGCGCUGCAUUAGCUAGUUGGUAAGGUAACGGCUUACCAAGGCAACGAUGCAUAGCCGACCUGAGAGGGUGAUCGGCCACACUGGAACUGAGACACGGUCCAGACUCCUACGGGAGGCAGCAGUAGGGAAUCUUCCGCAAUGGGCGAAAGCCUGACGGAGCAACGCCGCGUGAGUGAUGAAGGUCUUCGGAUCGUAAAACUCUGUUAUUAGGGAAGAACAUAUGUGUAAGUAACUGUGCACAUCUUGACGGUACCUAAUCAGAAAGCCACGGCUAACUACGUG
rnacentral:rRNA from 1 species